GAUCAGCCGGAACAGCCAACUCCGCCCGCGGCCCUCAAAAGUAGGCGGCGCAGGGAGUCUCCGCCCCCUUCGCCACCGGCGACUCAAACCAAAACAGCUGGGUUUCUCUCCGCAGAGGCAAACCCCAGCGUCCUUCUCGGACGCGACCUACGUGUUUUCUCAGCUUACUGCGCCGGUAACACCCACAGGGACCUCAAAACAGUCAUCCCAGAGUUGAGCCUUGGACACCAGAAGCUUUUCCUUCGGGGGUCGCCAGCGUCACUCGUCCCCAGCCAAAGGGCACCCGUCCCACACGCCUCCCCCAAAUCGCGAAGACCUGUCCCGCGGGCCUCCCUCCGCGUGGGGCGGCCACCCGUUGCUAUUCCAAAACUCUACGGCUGAUCCGAGUCGCCCACACCCCCGUCACAAUCGCAGUCCGGAAGGGAAGGUUUGUUCUCGGGAAGGAAAGCCUCGUCACCACUGAGACCUCUCCCGAGACCGGCCAGGCCCCUACAGUACAGGGGCAGAGGGGUGUAGCACGAGCCCUAAAAGAGAUGCAGCUGGGGUCCGACCCGCACAAGGUGCUGGGGUGGACCGGGGAGGCGCCUUACCCAGUGGAAAGACUCCCGGACCAAGGGAGAAAGUUACACAGGCUUCCGAUCCUGAUCCGCCAUCAGCCGCUGAACCUCUUCCGCCACCACCGCCUACCCCCAAAGACCGGCUACACCUACCCUCACAGCCGACAGUAGGCCUUGCGUCACUUCCGCCCACGGGGCGGUCUCUUCCGCCUCCUGGAGGGUUCGCCCCGCCGCUCCGCGACGACACGCCCCCAGCCUACUGCGCCGCGGGACGCGAAGCUGGACCCAGGCGUGCCUCCUCUCGCAGGCCGAAUGGUUCUCUCCUUCGUUCGUCUUUGCCAUUUUCGCUCAGCAAGUUAAUCGCAGAAAAACAAUGCGUCUGGAUUUACAUUCUGAUUGUAUGUUAUUAUUUUGACAUACGAAAUGGGGAAACACACCAGAGAUUUAAGUAACUCAACCGCGAUGUGGAAAGGGCAGCUCAGAGGUCCAUGAACAGUACCGUGUCCCUGCCUGCGUCUCAGUCGGCCUAAACUAACCCACCGAUUUUAUAGAUAAGGAAAUAGCCAGAGAAGCAAGGGAGUUACCACACGGCUAGGGCUGCAAACACCUAAACUCCAGGAUUGUCUCUCAACUCCUGGCCCAGUCCUGUGCUUUUUUGACUACGAAGUUUUGUUCACUGAAAGCUCCUAGGAGCCUUUCAGUUCUAAUGCCGUCUGAUUCUAUUUGCUCUCGCUCCAGCAGAGAGGCCUCUUUUCUACCCGCAUUUUUGUGAGUUACCGGCUUUUGUUAGCCAUAUCAUUUUCCGUGUGUGAAUUUUGUCCCGCGUUCUGUUAUUUCUAAAAUCACUUUUGCCUUUUGUAUGUAUUGCCUUCCUAUAUUAGACAUUCAGUUUGAAUCCUAACUUCACAGAAGCCAGUGUGUCCCAUUCGAAUUCAUCAUAUUCGUCUGUUGCCAUAAAACCCUGAUAAAACUUGCAAUAGCACCUGAAAGAUCUCAACACCUCCCACCUUCUCAGGAACUCUACAUCAUCUCUUUUUUAUAUUCAAGACCCCCAUCUCCACGAGAUCUUUUCCGUUGUCUUUUCCGUUGCAUUUCUAGCAAGAUGCAGAGGGCAGAUUUCUAGCAAGUUCCAGAUGGUAGAUUUCUGGCAAGUUCCAGAAGGUACCCUUCACAGGUUUAACAGCCCCACCCCUCGGGCACCAAGCAGUCUUAUCCAGGGGGAAAAAAAAAAAAACUGAUUCUCAGUAAUAAUCUCUGUGCCUACGAGAAACUUAGUGCAAGUCUUAGGAUCUCAAAAAAGGACCUACGAGCAUAAAGUAAUGAGUCUGUCAAGCGAGGUUUCCAUGCAUGGGGGGAGGAUCUCUUUAAGUAAGGAACCUUCCUUGUGCUUCUUUAAGCACAGUUGCUAUCAUUCUGGAAGAAGCUCCUUUUAACCCAUAUCUUCUUCCAACUAGCAUCCUAUUUUUUUUCUUUCCUUCCCAGCUGAACUUCUUAAGAAUCAAUCUAUAUGAUGUGAUAAUAUAUUUGAGAUAUUAACCUAUUUUUCUUGGUAUUUUCCCCUUCUAUAGCUUGCCACUUUCCCAACCUUCACCCAUAGAUAUAUUGCCUUGAAGAAAGGACGUAGAAGGAAAAUCUUUCUGGCUUUUGUUUCCAGAUUCUCGAACCCCACAAAUGGGGAGAGGAUUCAGGCUGCAGAGAAAUGGCUUGAGGAGAAGCCAAGGGCAGGGGUAUGUAGGUGGAGGGAGAACAGCCAGCAUUUUCCUCCCCCUCAACUCUAGAAACAGAUUUCUCUGGGCCAGAGAGGAUGGGAGGGUACCUCUAGGUGGACAAAAGCACACAGCCCGUUUAACCUUCCUAGGUCUCCAAGACAUCCCCUACCCUAUCUUAGUACAGAGCAAUAUUUCAAAAUCCUGACAAAACUAGAAUGGAGCGGGGCGGUG